UUAAGCAUAUCAAUAAGCGGAGGAAAAGAAACCAACAGGGAUUACCUCAGUAACGGCGAGUGAAGCGGUAGCAGCUCAAAUUUGAAAGCUAGCUCUUCUAGGGUUCGCAUUGUAAUUUGUAGAAGAUGCUUCGGGUGUGGCCCCGGUCUAAGUUCCUUGGAACAGGACGUCAUAGAGGGUGAGAAUCCCGUAUGUGACUGGGUGCUUUCGCUCAUGUGAAGCUCUUUCGACGAGUCGAGUUGUUUGGGAAUGCAGCUCAAAAUGGGUGGUAAAUUUCAUCUAAAGCUAAAUAUUGGCCAGAGACCGAUAGCGCACAAGUAGAGUGAUCGAAAGAUGAAAAGCACUUUGGAAAGAGAGUUAAACAGUACGUGAAAUUGUUGAAAGGGAAGCGCUUGCAACCAGACUUGCGCGCUGAUGAUCAUCCGGGCUUCUGCCCGGUGCACUCGUCUGCGCUCAGGCCAGCAUCGGUUUCGGUGGUGGGAUAAAGGCCUUGGGAAUGUAGCUUCUUUCGGGGAGUGUUAUAGCCCUCGGUGCAAUGCCGCCUACCGGGACCGAGGACCGCGCUUCGGCUAGGAUGCUGGCGUAAUGGUUGUAAGCGACCCGUCUUGAAACACGGACCAAGGAGUCUAACAUCUAUGCGAGUGUUUGGGUGUCAAACCCAUACGCGUAAUGAAAGUGAACGGAGGUGAGAACCCUUAAGGGUGCAUCAUCGACCGAUCCUGAUGUCUUCGGAUGGAUUUGAGUAAGAGCAUAGCUGUUGGGACCCGAAAGAUGGUGAACUAUGCGUGAAUAGGGUGAAGCCAGAGGAAACUCU
rnacentral:rRNA from 1 species